CCUAACACAUGCAAGUCGAACGGUAACAGGAAGAAGCUUGCUUCUUUGCUGACGAGUGGCGGACGGGUGAGUAAUGUCUGGGAAACUGCCUGAUGGAGGGGGAUAACUACUGGAAACGGUAGCUAAUACCGCAUAACGUCGCAAGACCAAAGAGGGGGACCUUCGGGCCUCUUGCCAUCGGAUGUGCCCAGAUGGGAUUAGCUAGUAGGUGGGGUAACGGCUCACCUAGGCGACGAUCCCUAGCUGGUCUGAGAGGAUGACCAGCCACACUGGAACUGAGACACGGUCCAGACUCCUACGGGAGGCAGCAGUGGGGAAUAUUGCACAAUGGGCGCAAGCCUGAUGCAGCCAUGCCGCGUGUAUGAAGAAGGCCUUCGGGUUGUAAAGUACUUUCAGCGGGGAGGAAGGGAGUAAAGUUAAUACCUUUGCUCAUUGACGUUACCCGCAGAAGAAGCACCGGCUAACUCCGUGCCAGCAGCCGCGGUAAUACGGAGGGUGCAAGCGUUAAUCGGAAUUACUGGGCGUAAAGCGCACGCAGGCGGUUUGUUAAGUCAGAUGUGAAUCCCCGGGCUCAACCUGGGAACUGCAUCUGAUACUGGCAAGCUUGAGUCUCGUAGAGGGGGGUAGAAUUCCAGGUGUAGCGGUGAAAUGCGUAGAGAUCUGGAGGAAU
rnacentral:rRNA from 1 species